rnacentral:rRNA from 1 species
UUGGAGGGCAAGUCUGGUGCCAGCAGCCGCGGUAAUUCCAGCUCCAAUAGCGUAUAUUAAAGUUGUUGCAGUUAAAAAGCUCGUAGUUGAAUUUCGAGAUCAAAUUGUUGGUCGUGCCUUGGUACGUACUGACAUUAUUGAUUUCUCCCUUCUGAAGAACCAUGAUGCCAUUAAUUUGGUGUCAUGGGGAAUCGGGACUGUUACUUUGAAAAAAUUAGAGUGUUUAAAGCAGGCUCGCGCUUGAAUACAUUAGCAUGGAAUAAUGAAAUAGGACGUUUAAUUCUAUUUUGUUGGUUUCUAGGAUUGACGUAAUGAUUAAUAGGGAUAGUUGGGGGCAUUAGUAUUCAAUUGUCAGAGGUGAAAUUCUUGGAUUUAUUGAAGACUAACUACUGCGAAAGCAUUUGCCAAGGAUGUUUUCAUUAAUCAAGAACGAAAGUUAGGGGAUCGAAGACGAUCAGAUACCGUCGUAGUCUUAACCAUAAACUAUGCCGACUAGGGAUCGGAUGAUGUUAAUUUUUUAAUGACUCAUUCGGCGCCUUACGGGAAAC